rnacentral:rRNA from 1 species
CCUACGGGGGGCAGCAGUGAGGAAUAUUGGUCAAUGGGCGUAAGCCUGAACCAGCCAAGUCUCGUGAGGGAUGAAGGUUCUAUGGAUCGUAAACCUCUUUUAUAAGGGUAUAAAGUGUGGGACGUGUCCUAUUUUGUAUGUACCUUAUGAAUAAGGAUCGGCUAACUCCGUGCCAGCAUACGCGGUAAUACGGAGGACCCGAGCGUUAUCCGGAUUUAUUGGGUUUAAAGGGUGCGUAGGCGGUCUUUUAAGUCAGCGGUGAAAGUCUGUGGCUCAACCAUGGAAUUGCCGUUGAAACUGGGGGGCUUGAGUAUGUUUGAGGCAGGCGGAAUGCGUGGUGUAGCGGUGAAAUGCUUAGAUAUCACGCAGAACCCCGAUUGCGAAGGCAGCCUGCCAAGCCAUGACUGACGCUGAUGCACGAAAGCGUGGGGAUCAAACAGGAUUAGAUACCCUAGUAGUC